rnacentral:hammerhead_ribozyme from 1 species
ACACAGCUGAUGAGACCAAACCAGGUCGAAACAGCUGUCUAGUGC